rnacentral:rRNA from 1 species
GACGAACGCUGGCGGCGUGCCUAAUACAUGCAAGUUGAGCGCUGAAGGUUGGUACUUGUACCAACUGGAUGAGCAGCGAACGGGUGAGUAACGCGUGGGGAAUCUGCCUUUGAGCGGGGGACAACAUUUGGAAACGAAUGCUAAUACCGCAUAAAAACUUUAAACACAAGUUUUAAGUUUGAAAGAUGCAAUUGCAUCACUCAAAGAUGAUCCCGCGUUGUAUUAGCUAGUUGGUGAGGUAAAGGCUCACCAAGGCGAUGAUACAUAGCCGACCUGAGAGGGUGAUCGGCCACAUUGGGACGGAGACACGGCCCAAACUCCUACGGGAGGCAGCAGUGGGGAAUAUUGGACAAUGGGGGGAACCCUGAUCCAGCAACGCCGCGUGGGGGAUGAAGGUCUUCGGAUUGUAAACCCCUGUUGAGAGGGACGAAGGCUUGAAGGCGAACAGUCUUCAAGCUUGACGGUACCUCGAGAGGAAGCCCCGGCUAACUCUGUGCCAGCCGCCGCCGUAACAC